rnacentral:rRNA from 1 species
UAGGGAAUCUUCCACAAUGGACGAAAGCCUGAUGGAGCAACGCCGCGUGUGUGAUGAAGGGUUUCGGCUCGUAAAACACUGUUGUAAGAGAAGAAUGACAUUGAGAGUAACUGUUCAAUGUGUGACGGUAUCUUACCAGAAAGGAACGGCUAAAUACGUGCCAC